rnacentral:rRNA from 1 species
CAGAGGGUGCGAACGUUGCUCGGAAUUACUGGGCGUAAAGCGCGUGCAGGCGGCCGCGCACGUCCGGGGUGAAAGCCCGGGGCUCAACCCCGGAAGCGCCUCGGAGACGACGAGGCUGGAGUGCUGGAGAGGAGGGCGGAAUUCCCGGUGUAGAGGUGAAAUUCGUAGAUAUCGGGAGGAACACCAGUGGCGAAGGCGGCCCUCUGGACAGCGACUGACGCUGAGACGCGAAAGCGUGGGUAGCAAACAGGAUUAGAUACCCUGGUAGUCCACGCCGUAAACGAUGGGCACUGGGUGUCGCGGGUAUUGACCCCCGCGGUGCCGAAGCCAACGCGUUAAGUGCCCCGCCUGGGAAGUACGGCCGCAAGGCUA